rnacentral:piRNA from 1 species
UUCCAAGACUCAUUUAGAAAU